UUGGGGCUGGGCAACUACAAGGCUUGUAGGCCUAUGGGGUACAACCUAACUGUUGGUGACCCAGCCAGGAGGGAGGCAGAGGAAACUCCCAGGAGCCCCGAGAUGUUGGGAAAUAAGGAUGGGGAAUGGAAUGUUGCGGGAGAAAUCCUGAGGUGCCUGUGUACCAGCAUGUAGGGCCCUGUGGCAGCUGAUUGCCAUGAGAGAUGCCUUUCUCAUGUUCUAUUGAUGACAUCCUGUUAACCUCAGAAUAUCUUUUCACUUUAAAAGUAGCAGCCCUGUGCUUGUGGCUCUUCUGACUGCAGAGUGAUGGCUGGUGAAUACAGACAGAAUGCAUGGGCCUGGAUUAUCUAUCAAAUGGUUGGGUGUUACUGGUUGGGUAAGAAAAGCAUGCUCCUGACUCACCACUCCUGAACAAUUAAAGAGAUAGGCUUUAGGGAUAUUAAUUCAGCGUCAGGCUUGUGAAUUGGAUGUGGCCAGUUAUCCAGAAGGGUUUGACUGGGGCCUGCGAUAGCAGCAAAGUAAUGAGUACUCUUGGGCUUCUGGUCCCAGCUAUGGAAGGGGGCAGAGUAACAAUAUAGUGUGAUGGAACAACAGCUCUUUGCUGUCCACAAGGCAUUGCAACAGGUGGAAGACAUUACAAAAUGCCUACCUGAGUUGUCGAGCAACUCACAACCCCCGCAUCUGGGGUGUAGAACAGCUGUGCAUGACAUAAGCCUCCCACUCUCCCCAUGGACAUUGAUAGUGACCGAGGAACCUACUUUACUGGCCCUGAAGUUCAGGAAUGGGCUGAUUAAAAAUACAUUGGUAUAUCCCUACUGCCCCACUGCUGCUGGGCUAUGAAUGGACUGCUUAAAUAACAGUUGAGACAGAAAACUGCUCUCUCUCUCAGCAUGUAACAUAUCCCAGGAGCAACUGUCACUAUGUCAACCUAGAAGCACGGAGUCAACACAAUUGGAGUUCACCUGUUGACCACUGAAGGACCACUGCCAGCUAUUGGUCAGGACAAUAACUUUUGCCUUUGCCACAGGAUCUACCCCCAGGGGAUACAUUAUAAAAUGGCCCUGGGACCAGCAGCUUAAUGUUAAGCUGAUACAUAAAUUGACAAGAUCAUAUGAAGAUUAAAGAGAAAACUCUAUGUGAAGAGUGUAACAUGGUUCCUGGCAUACAGCCAUGCUGGGGGUGCCAACACAGGACGUAUCCAGAUUGCCAAAUUGUUUCUGAUGACCAGGAAUAGACAUCACAUCCAAGAAGAGAAAACAGGAAGCAUGGUAAUAGCUGUAAGAGACUUUGUAUCUUUUGGAAAAACUAUUAACACUAAAUAUCUGGAGCUUUAAAGCUGCACACGUUCUCAGGUUACAUGAAAUGUAAGUACUAUAUUCGAAGGAGCUAGUUGCAUGUUAAGUCUUCCUUUUUACUCAAAUAUGAUUUAUAAAUAACCAGCACUCUGGAUAA